GACGAACGCUGGCGGCAUGCCUAACACAUGCAAGUCGAACGAUUGCCUUCGGGUGAUAGUGGCGCACGGGUGCGUAACGCGUGGGAAUCUGCCCUUAGGGUCGGAAUAACAGCUGGAAACGGCUGCUAAUACCGGAUGAUAUCGCGAGAUCAAAGAUUUAUCGCCUGAGGAUGAGCCCGCGUUGGAUUAGGUAGUUGGUGGGGUAAAGGCCUACCAAGCCGACGAUCCAUAGCUGGUCUGAGAGGAUGAUCAGCCACACUGGGACUGAGACACGGCCCAGACUCCUACGGGAGGCAGCAGUGGGGAAUAUUGGACAAUGGGCGCAAGCCUGAUCCAGCAAUGCCGCGUGAGUGAUGAAGGCCCUAGGGUUGUAAAGCUCUUUUACCCGGGAAGAUAAUGACUGUACCGGGAGAAUAAGCCCCGGCUAACUCCGUG
rnacentral:rRNA from 1 species